AGCAGCCGCGGUAAUUCCAGCUCCAAUAGCGUAUAUUAAAGUUGUUGCAGUUAAAAAGCUCGUAGUUGAAUUUCGGGGUUAGUAGGUUGGUCAUGCCUCUGGUAUGUACUGGUCUCACUGAUUCCUCCUUCCUGAUGAACCUUAAUGCCAUUAAUUUGGUGUUUUGGGGAAUUUGGACUGUUACUUUGAAAAAAUUAGAGUGUUUAAAGCAAGCUAACGCUUGAAUACAUUAGCAUGGAAUAAUGAAAUAGGACGUUCGAUCCUAUUUUGUUGGUUUCUAGGAUUGACGUAAUGAUUAAUAGGGAUAGUUGGGGGCAUUAGUAUUCAAUUGUCAGAGGUGAAAUUCUUGGAUUUAUUGAAGACUAACUACUGCGAAAGCAUUUGCCAAGGAUGUUUUCAUUAAUCAAGAACGAAAGUUAGGGGAUCGAAGACGAUCAGAUACCGUCGUAGUCUUAACCAUAAACUAUGCCGACUAGG
rnacentral:misc_RNA from 1 species